CAAUAGCGUAUAUUAAAGUUGUUGCAGUUAAAAAGCUCGUAGUUGGAUUUCUGGUUGGAGCGACCGGUCGGGCAUUGAUUUGUCUGCACUGGAGUCGGUUCUGGCCAUCCUCUUGGAAAGUGCGUCUGUCAUUAAGUUGUCGGGCGUAUGAUCCAGGUCUUUUACUGUGAAAAAAUUAGAGUGUUUAAAGCAGGCCUUCGCCUUGAAUACAUUAGCAUGGAAUAAUAAGAUAGGACUUUGGUCUAUUUUGUUGGUUUGCAGACCGAAGUAAUGAUUAAUAGGGAUAGUUGGGGGUAUUUAUAUUCCAAUGUCAGAGGUGAAAUUCUUAGAUUUUCGGAAGAUAAACUUAUGCGAAAGCAUUUACCAAGGAUGUUUUCAUUAA
rnacentral:rRNA from 1 species